GAGAAGGUGAUUGAUCGAGUUGAGACCAGGGCAUCAUUCAGAGAAGGGGAUUCCUCAGGGUGGGAGUCUCAUGGACCCAGGCUGAGAGAUCAGACUACAGAGCAGGACACAGCCAAGAGCAGCACUAACCUAUCACUACAGUCAUUGCCACCAGUAAGAAGUCAUUCAGAGCCAGGGACACAGACAAAGACAGGGAUAACACCUGAAACAGACAAGUUAAAGGUCCUUCAUAAGAUAGGAGGGCUGAAUGAAACCUCCACACUGCAGAAUGAUAAAAUAGCAAAGAUCACUAGAAAUAGUACUAUGGGAAAAGAUGUAGGGUUUGAUAGUGGCAUAGUAUCAGAUUCCCCACUCUCCACUCCUGAUAGGCCAUCUGAGAGUGACAGAUCCAGUGAACUGACUCCUUCCUCUGAACCCUAUUUCUCUGGGAAAAUAAAGGGGCCACAGGGUCCAGGAAGCAUCCCAAACAAAACAGUAUCUUCACAAACCUCUGGACCUGUUCAUCAGACACACCAAACCAAUACAGCCUGUAACGGCUAUCGUCAUAUUCUUCCUCCUCCUCAGACGAGGAGAGGCGAGACGGAUUGGACCAAUACGCAGAGUGGUUAGUGUUCAUAAUGAUUUAUUAAAACGAAACUGAAUACUGAAUUACAAAACAAAUAAACGAAGUGCAUAAACCGAUACAGUACCGUGUGGUGCAACAAACACAGACACGGAAACAAACACCCACAAAACACACGUGAAACCCGAGGCUGCCUAAGUAUGAUUCUCAAUCAGGGACAACGAUUGACAGCUGUCAGCUGCCGAACACAAACAUCCCAACAUAGAAAAUCAAACAUAGACAAACCCACCCAACUCACGCCCUGACCAACUAAAUAAAUACAAGAAAAAGGAAAACAGGUCAGGAACGUGACACAGCCAGAGAUGUCUCUGGGACAAAAGGUGUAGUAGUACCAUUUCAGACAGUGGAGACAGCCAUUCUCAGUCCCACUGCAUGGUCAGAAAACGCCACUGCACCAGUCCUGCUGACCCAGGAGUCAGACAGUGAUGGAGAAUUAAAAGGAUCAGGGACAAAAGCAUCAGUGAGGUUAGAUGAUUUACAGAUUCCACUUGAACCCAAACAGGCCUUUUAGAAUUGAAUAGAAUAGAGGAGGAGUAUAUACUGAGGCAGGCUAUGACUCCUCUGCCUCCAGAGAAUAGUACUAUGACAUGGAGAAAGACUGUCCUAGAGGCUCCUCUGCUGACAGUGUGGCUACAGGAGCAGAGGUGCCCUUGGAGAAACCUCCACACCGAUAUCACUUCCACAUCAACAGGUGGCAAAGAUUCAAACAAGAAACAAAAGGGCAGAAAGAAUGUGACAAAGACGUGGACAGAUGCUGGACAUGGACAGAUGCUGGACAAGUCAUGGAGAAGGGGGAUAGAGUUUUACCUGAGGUAGCGACAUUACCACUGGAGCCGUUCAAAAAUAAUGGGGGGGGGGUAAAAACUGAUGUCCCCGGAGCUCAGAGGAUCAGAGCGGGAACUGCCGCCUACCCCUCUACCUCCUGCCAGUGUGCCAGCUAAUCCCCAACCAAGACACACACUCAGAGAGCAAGGGACAGCCUAUAGACCAGGGCUUCGAGGGCAACAGGGACUUCAGGGUCCGCCUGGUUUGACAGGGCCCGCCGGACCAAAAGGAGAUAAAAUUUCUAUUGACAUGCAAGUGUGGCUAUACAACCUGGUCAAGAACUACAGGAAACGUAUGAUCUCUGUAAUUGCAAACAAAGACCUCUACAAAUUACAGACCUCUACAUGCUUUAAAAAUAAAUUCUGCAGAAAGCUUGUUGCAACAUGGCCGGUAGAUGAUCUCUUCUCAUCUAAUGUAUUCCAUCAUAAGGGAAAGGGGAUACCUAGUCAGUUGCACAACUGAAUGCAUUCAACCGAAAUGUGUCUUCUGUAUUUAACCCAACCCCUCUGAAUCAGAGAGGUGCGGGGUGCUGCCUUCAUUGACAUCCACUUCAUCAGCACCCGAGGAGCAGUUGUUGGUUAACUGCCUUGCUCAAAGGCAGAACAGCAGAUUUUUACACCUUGCCAGCUCGGGGAUUCGAACCAGCAACUUUUCAGUUACUGGCCCAACGCUUCUAACCGCUAGGCUACCUGCCACCCCAUACAGUAUUUGAUUUAUUUACAGUCUAUGUACUGUAUGUCAGUUAGAGAUUUGUUUCUUUCUCCUCAGAGACUGAUGCUGGACCUCUAGUAAGUAAACAUACACUAUUACUGUAACAAUAUCAUCAUCGCUGAUAGACUGAUAAACUAUUGAUUGAUCACACUGAUGCUUGUCCACUGACAGUCAGAGAUUGUUUUUAUUCCAGGGACCACCAGGAAUUACUGGAAAACAUGGAAGAAAAUGAGAUGGAGGGAAAAUUAAUGUCAACUUCCCUAAAAUAGGAUUACAGGAUGCUGUUAGAUGACACAGGGAAUGGUGGGGAAAACUGGAGCAACAGGGAUUCAAGGUCCAGUUGGGAAGAGUGGGGAUUCUGGAAGUAGAGGAAUCACUGGCAAACCAGGAAAACCAGGAGUCAAGGUAAGUCCCUGUUAGCCCAUACAGAAUACUCUGUUUCAACACUCUUUACUUUGCAAAUAAUUGAAGUCUCUGAAAUCAUUGUCAUCUGUUUUAAUAGCUUUUCGCUUAGCUAUGUCUGACUAGGGGAUGUUACAAAGCAGUUGUAUUUGUCAGCGUUUUUGUGGAUUAUGUUUGUCAGUUUGUUUAGCAUCCUGUACAUAGGGUGCCAAAGGCAAAGAGGGUCUUAAUGGGCUUCCAGGGAAUCCUGGAGUUAAGGGAAACCGAGGUCAGGAGGGUCUAAGGGGGAAACAAGGAAGCACAGGCCUACAGGGAUUGACAGGGAUAUAGAGGAGCUCCUGGCAUAGCAGGCAAUAUAGGACCAUCGGGUGAGGUGGGCCUCAAGGGCCCCCAGGACCAGUUGGGCCCCGUGGAGUUAUAGGUUACCCAGUAAGUUACCUUUCCUAUUUUAUUGAUUGCUGUAUUGUCAACAAUUGUGGGACGAUUUACAUGUUCUUUCUAUUUUGAUGUCUUCACACUGUGAAUGUCCUUAAACUGUUGUUAAGAACCCUCCAGACAAGCUUCAAUGCCAUACAACUCUCCAUCAGUGGCCUCCAACUGCUCUUAAAUACAAGUACAACUAAAUGCAUGCUAUUCAACCGAUCGCUGCCUGCACCUGCCCGCCCGUCCAGCAUCACUACUCUGGACGGUUCUGACUUAGAAUAUGUGGACAACUACAAAUACCUAGGUGUCUGGUUAGACUGUGAACUCUCCUUCCAGACUCACAUCAAACAUCUCCAAUCCAAAGUUAAAUCUAGAAUUGGCUUCCUGUUUUGCAACAAAGCAUCCUUCACUCAUGCUGCCAAACAUACCCUCGUAAAACUAACCAUCCUACCGAUCCUCGACUUCGGCAAUGUCAUUUACAAAAUAGCCUCCAAUACCCUACUCAAUAAAUUGGAUGCAGUCUAUCACAGUGCCAUCCGUUUUAUCACCAAAGCCCCAUAUACUACCCACCACUGCGACCUGUACUCUCUCGUUGGCUGGCCCUCGCUUCAUACUCGUCGCCAAACCCACUGGCUCCAGGUCAUCUACAAGACCCUGCUAGGUAAAGUCCCCCCUUUCUCAGCUCGCUGGUCACCAUAGCAGCACCCACCUGUAGCACGCGCUCCAGCAGGUAUAUCUCUCUGGUCACCCCCAAACCAAUUCCUCCUUUGGCCGCCUCUCCUUCCAGUUCUCUGCUGCCAAUGACUGGAACGAACUACAAAAAUCUCUGAAACAGGAAACACUUAUCUCCCUCACUAACUUUUACGCACCAGCUGUCAGAGCAGCUCACAGAUUACUGCACCUGUACAUAGCCCAUCUAUAAUUUAGGCCAAACAACUACCUCUUCCCCUACUGUAUUUAUUUAUUUAUUUAUUUUGCUCCUUUGCACCCCAUUAUUUCUAUUUCUACUUUGCACAUUCUUCCACUGCAAAUCUACCAUUCCAGUGUUUUAAUUGCUAUAUUGUAUUUACUUCGCCACCAUGUCCUUUUUUGCCUUUACCUCCCUUAUCUCACCUCAUUUGCUCACAUUGUAUAUAGACUUAUUUUUCUACUGUAUUAUUGACUGUAUGUUUGUUUUACUCCAUGUGUAACUCUGUGUUGUUGUAUGUGUCGAACUGCUUUGUUUUAUCUGGCCAGGUCGCAAUUGUAAAUGAGAACUUGUUCUCAACUUUCCUACCUGGUUAAAUAAAGGUGAAAUAAAUAAAUAAAUAAAAGACGGAUCACCCGGAGGCAUUGAGCCAGUGACAGACAAAGGGGAUAAGGGGUCCAGAGGAGCUAUCUGACAGAAGGGAGUUGCUGGUGUCGAUGGUGAGGAGGGUGAAAAGGGGAAGAUGGGAGCUCGUGGGGAAAGAGGUGAAAAAGGAAUCCAGGGAAAUGGAGGCAACCAAGGUCAACAAGGACCAAAGGGCCCACUGGGGAAAGAAGGGACAGAGGGAGUGAAGGAGUUCCAGGACUAAAGGCCUACAGGCUUAGUGGGACCAAAAGGAUCAACAGGUUUACCAGGAAAAAGAGGAGUUGAUGGAAAAAGUGGACUUUGUGGACCAAAGGGAGAUUAUGGGGAGAGGGGAAAGACUGGGACAGGUGGUCUCAAAGGAGAUGUGGGAUUACAAGGUCCAAGAAGGAAGAAAGGAGUCUGGAACAAGAGGAAAAAUGGGGACAUUGGGAAAUAGGGGGUUAACUGGGUCUCCAGGAGGUAAAGGCAGACCUGGGCCUGCUGGUCCCCCUGGAGAGAAAGGUGGUAAAGGAAUAGAAGUGCCAAAGUAAAGGGAUUGCAUGGUAGCCCAGUAAAGAAAGGAAGCAGGGGAGUUAGAGGCAAACCGGGAGAAGGCCCAUUGGGACCGGAUGGACCAGUUGGAAGACCUGGAAAGCCAGCAAG